rnacentral:RNase_P_RNA from 1 species
CGCAGAAAAUAACCGCCACGUCCCGAUUUCGGGCCGGGGUAAGGAUGAAAACGUGCGGUAAGAGCGCACGAUUCCAGCUGGUAACAGCCGGGAUGGAUAAACCUUGCGGGUUGAAAUGCCAUGUACACCUUGUUUACCCGCCUUCGCCAAGGCUAUGGCGGGUAACCGCGCGGCUCGCGUAGUCCUGACCUCGGUCGGGAGCAAGGGGGGUAGGCAGCGCAGAUCCCGACCUCGGUCGGGACCAGAUAAAUGGCAGAGGUUCCUUGUCAUCCUGUAAAGGAUCUUGGAAUACAGAAUCCGGCUUAUAGGUCUGCGGUUUUU